rnacentral:lncRNA from 1 species
AUCCAUUCCUUUUUGUGUGUGAUCCCUUAGCACGGCUGACUGGACAUUUCACCGAGAUGUUAACAACACCACGGCCCAAAUUCCCACCUCUUCAUCUGUUUAACCGCCUCUGACACUGAUCCCCAGCGAUGAGAGACAGCUGAUUAUACAGAUGCAGAUCUCCCCAUGCAUGGCAAACAUAAAGCAAUAUGGCCUGCUGUCUCUUUAACAACGUGACUUAUAAAUCAUGCUUUUUGUGCUAAAAGACAAUGUCAUCAUACCUACAUUCAGAUGCGAGCAGGUACUGAGGACUGACUGAUCCAGAAGGAGACCCAGGACAAGACCACCAGAGCACUGGAGGGAACGUACGUCUCCAGAAUAAAAUACAGGAUGCUUCGCUUGAGUUUGAAGUGGAAGAUCAACUUCGGGUAUGAGCUUGGAUUGCCACCUGUGUGACGUCCAAAUUGAGCGCACAAACUUGUAUAACGGAGAAAGACAGAAAACGACUGGGAAAGAUCAAAUGAGAGGAAGUGAGACAGAUGGUGAGAGACACGGAGAGAGAGAGUUUGGAAGACAGACGGAGAGCUUCAGGUCACUGACAUGAUGUCUCUAUUGUUACUCUCAUUAAACUGUUACUAAUGUUUAAAACAAUUAUCAUAAAUAAAUAAGAAGCGAACCAUGGGUCACUGCCUAUAUAUUAGCCUUCAUAAACACUUGAAAGACUCAAACAAAACACAGCAAAGUUAGAAGGAAAGAACGAUCUUAGGCAAUUUUCAGUGGUAUCAGAACAUUUAUAUUUCGGCAUGUUUUUCUAGAUGAAGUCUGACUCCACAUGACUAUCC